rnacentral:rRNA from 1 species
CGAAUGACUCUCGGCAACGGAUAUCUCGGCGCUCGCAUCGAUGAAGAACGUAGCGAAAUGCGAUACGUGGUGUGAAUUGCAGAAUCCCGCGAACCAUCGAGUCUUUGAACGCAAGUUGCGCCCGAGGCCUUGUGGACGAGGGCACGCCUGCCUGGGCGUCACGCCG